GAUGAACGCGGGCGGCGUGCCUAAUACAUGCAAGUAGAACGCUGAAGCUUGGUGCUUGCACCGAGCGGAUGAGUUGCGAACGGGUGAGUAACGCGUAGGUAACCUGCCUCUUAGCGGGGGAUAACUAUUGGAAACGAUAGCUAAUACCGCAUAAAAGUCGACAUCGCAUGAUGUUGACUUGAAAGGUGCAAUUGCAUCACUAAGAGAUGGACCUGCGUUGUAUUAGCUAGUUGGUGAGGUAACGGCUCACCAAGGCGACGAUACAUAGCCGACCUGAGAGGGUGAUCGGCCACACUGGGACUGAGACACGGCCCAGACUCCUACGGGAGGCAGCAGUAGGGAAUCUUCGGCAAUGGGGGCAACCCUGACCGAGCAACGCCGCGUGAGUGAAGAAGGUUUUCGGAUCGUAAAGCUCUGUUGUAAGAGAAGAACGAGUGUGAGAGUGGAAAGUUCACACUGUGACGGUAACUUACCAGAAAGGGACGGCUAACUACGUGCCAGCAGCCGCGGUAAUACGUAGGUCCCGAGCGUUAUCCGGAUUUAUUGGGCGUAAAGCGAGCGCAGGCGGUUAGAUAAGUCUGAAGUUAAAGGCUGUGGCUUAACCAUAGUACGCUUUGGAAACUGUUUAACUUGAGUGCAGAAGGGGAGAGUGGAAUUCCAUGUGUAGCGGUGAAAUGCGUAGAUAUAUGGAGGAACACCGGUGGCGAAAGCGGCUCUCUGGUCUGUAACUGACGCUGAGGCUCGAAAGCGUGGGGAGCAAACAGG
rnacentral:rRNA from 1 species